GUCCCUCAGGCAAAAUACAGUCUAACCUUUCAUCUCUGGAUAACAAUGCAGAUGCCAACAGUUUUUGCCCUGGGAGAUGGUGCCACACUUUAUCAGCUCCGCAUGGUUCCUUUGAGUCUUGUAUCUGUGCCAAACUAGAAAUACAAACUUUCUAGCCCCAUUCCAUAUUUAUUUCAGCAGAUACUCUGGGGGCUGGGCCCAUCAAUCUUUAUUUUAACAAGCCUUGCAGGUGAGCAUGGUUUAUGUCCAAGGUUGAAAAGCACUGGUUUAAAAGAACCUUUGUAGAAGAGGUAUCUGCUCCUUAAAAGUAGUAACCUAUUGCCUUUUUGUCUCCACUUCAAAUGGGAUAUUCUUUGGCAUGUAUGUUAUUAUAAUCAUGCAUCUUUUAAGAUUAAAGUAUAUUAAAUCCCAGGCAUGGUUUUGAAAAAAGCAAACAGCUGGAAGCCUAUUAGAUCCACAACAUGCAUUAUAUCAUUUAACCUAACAAGCUGGAAUGUCAUCCUCAUUUUACAGUAGAGGAGAGUGAGGCUCAUAGAAUAUAAAAAACUAAUGUGAGGUAAUACAGCUGAUAAGGGGCAGACCUGAGGUUUAAUUCAAGAUCUCGGAGGCAUUAAUGCCUGCAUUCUUCCCCAUUCUUCUGCAGAUUCUUCAGGUCCUGAAUUAUGUUUUACUGGGCUG
rnacentral:lncRNA from 1 species